UGACCUGCACCAGAAGUAGAUAGUUUAACCGCGAGGGGGACGUUUACCACGGUGUGGUUCAUGACUGGGGUGAAGUCGUAACAAGGUAGCCGUAGGUGAACCUGCAGAAGGAUCA
rnacentral:rRNA from 1 species